UACGUAGGUGGCAAGCGUUGUCCGGAUUUACUGGGCGUAAAGAGCGCGCAGGCGGUCGUUCAAGUCGCGUGUGAAAGCCCCCGGCUCAACUGGGGAGGGUCACGCGAUACUGAUCGACUUGAAGGCAGGAGAGGGAAGCGGAAUUCCCGGUGUAGUGGUGAAAUGCGUAGAUAUCGGGAGGAACACCAGUGGCGAAGGCGGUUGCCUGGAGCUUUGCUGACGCUGAGGCGCGAAAGCGUGGGGAGCGAUCCGG
rnacentral:rRNA from 1 species